rnacentral:SRP_RNA from 1 species
UCAAAAUAUUUGACACAGCACCUUAAAAACCAUAUAAUUAAGUGAGUCGAAAUGCCCUUUAACAGCUUCGCCUGUUCUGGUUUGGGUCCUGCGCAAUAGGAUGCCGUGAACCUUGUCAGGUCCGGAAGGAAGCAGCAAUAAGCGGAAGUUCUUAUGUGCCGCAGAUCAGCCUUCUUCAGAGUCAUGCGGAGCUGUUAAAGGGCAUUUGAUUUUGU